AACGUAUAAAUAAAUAAUUUUUUAAACAAAUUAAAACCGACUAGAAAUACAAAUGUAACCUGUUUUACCGACCAUGGCUGAUGAUGACAUUUUUCACUAAUUAAAUGAAAUGGAAUGUUUUCGAAGGGAAUUUACUGACCAAAGCAAAUUUUUAACUAAUUUCCCAUACAUAUUUUACCCCAAAACCAAUGUAUUUUGUCACACUCUUGAAAAUAUUCAGAAUGUAUUGGCCGCAACAAAACAACAAAAUUUUAUACGUGAAAUUUGAAAAUUAUAUCGGCUAUCACGUAUUUUCACGUUUUGAAAGACCCAACGCCUCACCUAGGAAAACUUACCCCUGGACUUACCUGGAAGUCUCAAAUUUCGUCGAUUUGCUGUACUAGGGCUCACCAAGCGCUGAUUCCUGUGUAAUAAUAUGACAAUAAACAAUUUUAUGCAUAAAAAUACUCACAAAUAAUGCGGACAAAAAACUUUAUAAAAAAUUUGACUUUUGAGAAAAAAAUAUAAAGGUAAUCUGUUUUACCGACUAAGAAGGUGCUUCACCACACUGUAUUUCAACAAUAAAAAACAACCCAAUUCAAAAAAUAUUUUAUUUAUAAUAAAAUAAUACAUAGGAUAUCUUAUGUUAAAUCAGUCAAACAUUAUUAUUGUUCAAUCUUUUUGCAUUUUUCACGAUCGGCAUGUUCCGGCCAAUCACAAAUAUUGCUCUGAGUAUGGAAAACAGUCCCUGGUCUGCAUGCAAAUUCCGUGGGUUUCCCAUGUACGCAACGAUAGUACUACACACGAAAAAUUAAAAUAAAACUAAACAUUAUUUAAAUCAUCCACCUACCUUAUCGCAAAGCUCAUGUGGCAUAAAGUCCUGUUUACACUCCUUGGGGGCCACUGAUCCAUCAACUUCGUUUUGCGGAUUUGAGACAGCUGGGGCUGGCGGAGCCUCAGUCGUACUCACCGUUGUGGUCCUUUGA